rnacentral:misc_RNA from 1 species
GUUGACAUCUAAUUUUGUCCUAAGUACGAAGAAAAAUGGAAACUUACAAAGUUUGCGAAGGAACAACAGAAUAUCAAGACUUGUUACCUGUGAUGGCUGAAAAAUUAGACGUGGAGGCCUUUGUGGCGGAGCUAUGUGGUGGGUUCAGGCUUCUAUCAGACCCUAAAAAUGGAUUGAUCACAUCGUCGAGCUUACAAAAGAAUUCGGGUUUUUUAGGGAUGGAAGGGAUGAGUAGAGAAGAUGCAGAGGCUAUGGUAAAAGAAGGAGACUUAGAUGGAGAUGGAGCACUGAAUGAAACUGAAUUUUGUAUUCUUAUGGUUAGACUUAGUCCAGAAAUGAUGCAAGAUGCUGAGGUAUGGCUUGAUAAGGCACUUCAAAGAGAGUUAGCUAAAUCAUCUUGUUCAUAAUUGUCUAUCAAAAAUAUGAAAUGGACAAGAAGAAGAAAAAAAGAAUAUGAGAAGCUUU